AACGCGGUGGCCAGGUAGAGGUGGCCGAUCUUCUUGUGGUCGGUGGUGGUCAGGUAGUCCCGGAUCCGCUCCCCGGUGC
rnacentral:tRNA from 1 species